rnacentral:rRNA from 1 species
CUUCGGGAACUGUGAGACAGGUGCUGCAUGGCUGUCGUCAGCUCGUGUUGUGAAAUGUUGGGUUAAGUCCCGCAACGAGCGCAACCCUUAUCCUUUGUUGCCAGCGGUUAGGCCGGGAACUCAAAGGAGACUGCCAGUGAUAAACUGGAGGAAGGUGGGGAUGACGUCAAGUCAUCAUGGCCCUUACGACCAGGGCUACACACGUGCUACAAUGGCGCAUACAAAGAGAAGCGACCUCGCGAGAGCAAGCGGACCUCAUAAAGUGCGUCGUAGUCCGGAUUGGAGUCUGCAACUCGACUCCAUGAAGUCGGAAUCGCUAGUAAUCGUGGAUCAGAAUGCCACGGUGAAUACGUUCCCGGGCCUUGUACACACCGCCCGUCACACCAUGGGAGUGGGUUGCAAAAGAAGUAGGUAGCUUAACCUUCGGGAGGGCGCUUACCACUUUGUGAUUCAUGACUGGGGUGAAGUCGUAACAAGGUAACCGUAGGGGAACCUGCGGUUGGA